rnacentral:rRNA from 1 species
AGAGUUUGAUCAUGGCUCAGAAUCAACGCUGGCGGCGUGCCUAACACAUGCAAGUCGAACGAGAAAGUGGAGCAAUCCAUGAGUAAAGUGGCGACCGGGUGAGUAACACGUGACCAAUCUACCCUUGAGUGGGGGAUAACCUCGGGAAACCGGGGCUAAUACCGCAUAAAAUCUCUGGAUCGGAAGAACUGGAGAUCAAAGGAGCAAUUCGCUUAAGGAGGAGGUCGCGGCUGAUUAGCUAGUUGGUAGGGUAAUGGCCUACCAAGGCAAUGAUCGGUAGCCGGCCUGAGAGGGCACACGGCCACACUGGCACUGAAACACGGGCCAGACUCCUACGGGAGGCAGCAGUGGGGAAUCUUGCACAAUGGGGGAAACCCUGAUGCAGCGACGCCGCGUGAGCGAUGAAGCCCUUCGGGGUGUAAAGCUCUUUCGGCAGGAACGAUAAUGACGGUACCUGAAGAAGAAGCUGCGGCUAACUACGUGCCAGCAGCCGCGGUAAUACGUAGGCAGCAAGCGUUGUUCGGAGUUACUGGGCGUAAAGAGUGUGUAGGCUGUUCUCUAAGUUUGGUGUGAAAUCUCCCGGCUUAACUGGGAGGGUGCGCCGAAAACUGGAGGGCUUGAGUAUGGGAGAGGAAAGCGGAAUUCCUGGUGUAGCGGUGAAAUGCGUAGAUAUCAGGAGGAACACCUGCGGUGUAGACGGCUUUCUGGACCAUCACUGACGCUGAGACACGAAAGCGUGGGGAGCAAACAGGAUUAGAUACCCUAGUAGUCC